GGGACUGUAGCUCAGCUGGUUUAGAGCGCACCCCUGAUAAGGGUGAGGUCGGAGGUUCGAGUCCUCUCAGUCCCA
rnacentral:tRNA from 2 species